UACGUAGGUGGCAAGCGUUAUCCGGAUUUACUGGGUGUAAAGGGCGUGUAGGCGGGACAGCAAGUCAGGCGUGAAAAUUAUGGGCUCAACCCAUAACCUGCGUUUGAAACUGUUGUUCUUGAGUGAUGGAGAGGCAGGCGGAAUUCCGUGUGUAGCGGUGAAAUGCGUAGAUAUACGGAGGAACACCAGUGGCGAAGGCGGCCUGCUGGACAUUAACUGACGCUGAGGCGCGAAAGCGUGGGGAGCAAACAGGAUUAGAUACC
rnacentral:rRNA from 1 species